GAUGAACGCUGACAGAAUGCUUAACACAUGCAAGUCAACUUGAAUUUGGGUUUUUAACUUAGGUUUGGGUGGCGGACGGGUGAGUAACGCGUAAAGAACUUGCCUCACAGCUAGGGACAACAUUUGGAAACGAAUGCUAAUACCUAAUAUUAUGAUAAUAGGGCAUCCUAUAAUUAUGAAAGCUAUAAGCGCUGUGAGAGAGCUUUGCGUCCCAUUAGCUAGUUGGAGAGGUAACGGCUCACCAAGGCGAUGAUGGGUAGCCGGCCUGAGAGGGUGAUCGGCCACAAGGGGACUGAGACACGGCCCUUACUCCUACGGGAGGUAGCAGUGGGGAAUAUUGGACAAUGGACCGAGAGUCUGAUCCAGCAAUUCUGUGUGCACGAUGAAGUUUUUCGGAAUGUAAAGUGCUUUCAGUUGGGAAGAAACAAAUGACGGUACCAACAGAAGAAGUGACGGCUAAAUACGUG
rnacentral:rRNA from 1 species